rnacentral:lncRNA from 1 species
CAGAAACACAAAUAAAAUAUGUAACUUUAAUCUCCUUGGGGCUUAGCCUGCCCUUUAUGAGUCGGAUUUUUUUGGCUAAGAUAUUGAGUUGGGUCUGUGUGGUGUUUUCUGUUGUAUGCUAGCCUGUACCUUGUACAUAGGCUACCAUACAGUUAAUAAGAUGGCAUGUGUUUUGUUACACCAUAAGAACCAAGUUUAUGUCUGUACAAAUUUGCUUUGGUUGCAGGUGCUCGUGUGUAUUUAUGGUGGGUAUGUAUAGGCUGUACUAAAUGUUUUGUGUAUGUAUUUUCCAGAAAGGUUGCAAGGGACUGGAGUGUGAUGAACUGACACCCUGUUCAGCAGGUAUUCCUACUUUGUACCAAAUGAUCAUCGGUAUGCUCUGGACCACCACAACCCUGACUUGGAAAAAGAAGAUAAGAAGAUUAAUAAAAUGGAAGUAUCUCCUCAGUGAACCCCAGGAGAAGAACACCGAAGAUGAAGACCGAAAACAACCUGGAGACGAACAAGAGAAAGACACAUGGAGGAGGAGACAUCUUUUAACUGGAACACCUUUGAGAAAAAGGCCAACAAUAAAGACACGUAGAGAUCCACGGUCCUUGCCAUAUGUGCCACUGGGAACAAGAAGGACUAAAAAGAAGAUGACAAUUGUCAUAAAAUCCUUUUGUAUGGGCAAUGCAGCCUUAGAAACACUGCCUGUAAGCUUAGUUGUGCUAUGUUAUAUAUGUCAGAGUCAUCUGAAAAAACAAGGGUUCUCCUUCUUGGGACAGUCCACUUGUGGACAAUAUUUGGGGAGAUCUUCCUCAUCUCAGUGCCAAGUCCGAUCCCAUUAGAGCUUGAACAAAACACUCCUUCAUGUUGUUUGUACAUUUGCAGGGUCAGUGUUUAAGGCCACUGCUGUCUGUAUUCUGAAUUGUGUACCGUCAUAUUUUGUCAAUACACCAUUAUUGAGUUUAAUAAAAUGUAUUUUUGUUAUGUUUUAUGGAGAUAU